rnacentral:rRNA from 1 species
AGAGUUUGAUUCUGGCUCAGAACGAACGCUGGCAGCGUGGAUUAGGCAUGCAAGUCGAACGUGAAGCUGUUGAUCAAUUCUUCGGAAGAGUGAUUCAGUGGAAAGUGGCGAAAGGGUGAGUAACGCGUGGGUAACCUACCCUGAAGUUGGGGACAACUCUUCGAAAGGGGAGCUAAUACCGAAUGUGGUCCCCCCCCGCAUGUGGGGGAGACUAAAGGUGGAAUCCUUCGGGAUCUGCCGCUUCUGGAGGGGCCCGCGUGACAUCAGCUUGUUGGUGAGGUAAUGGCUCACCAAGGCUUACGUCUAGCUGGUCUGAGAGGAUGGUCAGCCACACUGGGACUGAGACACUGCCCAGACUCCUACGGGAGGCUGCAGUCGAGAAUCACUCACAAUGCGCGAAAGCGUGAUGAUGCGACGCUGCGUGGAGGAUGAAGGCCCUAGGGUUGUAAACUCCUGUCAUGAGGGAAAAACCGCACGGAUGUAAAUAGCGUCUGUGUUUGAUGGUACCUCAAGAGGAAGCCACGGCUAACUCUGUGCCAGCAGCCGCGGCGAUACAGAGGUGGCGAGCGUUGUUCGGAUUUACUGGGCGUAAAGCGUACGUAGGUGGUUUCGUGUGUCGGGUGUGAAAGCCCACGGCCCAACCGUGGAAUUGCACUCGAAACUGCGGGACUUGAGUGCAGGAGGGGAGAGCGGAAUUCAGGGUGUAGCGGUGAAAUGCGUUGAUAUCCUGAAGAACACCGGUGGCGAAGGCGGCUCUCUGGAAUGUUACUGACACUGAGGUACGAAAGCGUGGGGAGCGAACAGGAUUAGAUACCCUGGUAGUCCACGCCGUAAACGUUGUGCACUUGGUGUGGGCGGUAUUGACCCCGUCCGUGCCGGAGCUAACGCGUUAAGUGCACCGCCUGGGGAGUACGGCCGCAAGGCUAAAACUCAAAGAAAUUGACGGGGGCCCGCACAAGCGGAGGAGCAUGUGGCUCAAUUCGAUGCAACGCGAAGAACCUUACCUGGACUUGACAUGUAACUGCAUGCCCCGGGAAACCGGGGAGGCCUUCGAGGGUGUUACACAGGUGCUGCAUGGCUGUCGUCAGUUCGUGCCGUGAGGUGUUGGGUUAAGUCCCGCAGCGAACGCAACCCUUGUGUUUAGUUGCCACCGGUGGUGAUGAGCCACCGAGCACUCUAAACAGACUGCCUGUACAAGCAGGAGGAAGGUGGGGAUGACGUCAAGUCAGUAUGGCCCUUAUGUCCAGGGCUGCACACGUGCUACAAUGGCCGGUACAAUGGGAAGCAAUACCGCGAGGUGGAGCAAAUCCUCAACACCGGUCCCAGUUCGGAUUGGAGUCUGCAACUCGACUCCAUGAAGUUGGAUUCGCUAGUAAUGCCGUAUCAGCUACGACGGCGUGAAUACGUUCCCGGGCCUUGUACACACCGCCCGUCACACCAUGAGAGUUGGUUGUACCAGAAGUCGCGGGGCCAACCCGCAAGGGGGGCAGGCGCCUAAGGUAUGGCUGAUGAUUGGGGUGAAGUCGUAACAAGGUA